UUGAAAUUACCGGUGAGGGUUGUAGCUGGCCUUUCGGGGCAUGUGCACGCUCGAGCCUUUAAUCCAACACACACCUGUGAACCCAAUGUAGGGGCCUUUUUUACGGGCCCUUACGUCUUUAUCACCAACUCUGUAUUCAUAGAAUGUAAUCCAUAUCUUCGCCUUAACAAGCGUCGAUAAACUUAUA
rnacentral:misc_RNA from 1 species